rnacentral:lncRNA from 1 species
AACCUCAGUAAACAUCAGGCACUCAGUGCUCUCCAGACUGCAGUGGUGGUGGAGCUGAGAGGACUGUGUUUGGAGGAGUAAAUGUCCACUCUCAUGCUAUUUUAUUUCUCAGGCCCUUUGUCAUGGCCUUCUUAGUGGUAAGAUCUGGAAGGGUACAAUAUGGUGAUAGAUGUAACUUUUGCUUUUGAGAGGUAAGGUGAAGUGAGGCCUGAGUAAAGAUUCACCAGUUUAGGAAGACAUUGCAGUUUGUUUCUAUUUGUUCAAUUCAGUUUACUAGGUUAGAGAAGAAGAUAGAGACUUCAAGCAAGGCCUGGCACAUAAAUCUUCCCUUGGCUAAAUAGUCAAUCAUUAAAAUCUCUCUUGAGGAUGUAAAACUUUUACUUUCUACUUGACCCCACCAAGUUGCUAAUUUUGUGGGUCAGAAAUUUCUAGAAUAUUGAGUGGAUCAUGUUUUCUACUGAGUGGAGUUACUCUUCCCUCUGUUUUCCAUUCUAUUACACUUACUCCAGAGAGAUAAUGUUUUGGCGGAGAAGAGGCAUGGCAGUGAAGAAUAUAUAAUAUACAAUGCCAA